UAUAUACGAUUGCUUUUCUUCUAGCUCUUAAAGAGUUAAGAAGAAGGCAAGCCUCGCGCCUAGGGGUUUUCAAAACCAAACCGAAAUCGAAAAUCGAACCGAAACCGAAGCUUAAUGGCUUAUUGGUAUCUGGUUAACGAUUUAGUGGACGGGGAACAGAUUGAAAUUUUUUAUUGACAGAUUAUCGAUUUGGGGGCGGAUUAUUCAAUUAUCUUCACAGAUAAUCAGUUAAUCCAUUAAGAACAUAUACACAUAUAAAAUUUAUCUUUAUCUAUAUAUAUAUAUAUUAAAUAAUCAAAAACCCUUAUUUGACAACACUGGAGUAGUUAUAAAACCUAAUUUACAAAACCAGUGUAGUUACAUAUUUUUCCUUUCUUGUAAAAUAAAUUGAUCGGACAAAAACUUGUUCGGGAACAACUAGCUAGCAGUGAACUCCUAGAUACCUCACCCCAAGCAGAAGAAAUAAAACAAAUAAGCAACAGAAAGGAACCAUAUGCUUACUCUCACGGGCAGUAGACUAUCUGGAGGCCUCGAGGAACGAACUUGAGCAAGUUCACUAAUUUCAGUCAGUUUCCAAAUUUUGGAUUUCUCCAGCUCAGCAGAAAUCCUGGAACAGCCAAUUGGAAAAAUCUUUCACAUGGAUUAAGACCAAUGUGCAUAAUCAUAAAUAAAAUUCUAAACAGAUGAUCUAACCAUCACGGUGUCUCUAUUGCUUCGUCCUUCUAAGUACGUUGACCAUUUAAAUAUAUAGAGACUAAAUUUUAUUUUAUUUUGAUUGAAUUAGGCUGAUAAACUGCCCGAUAAGAGCUAAACCGGUACUAAUCUAUUCGAUAUCUUAUCGGGUGGCUAGCGGAUUAAUAUAUUUAAAAGCCGAUAAUCGAUAAGCCAAACCGUUAAGAGUAAAUAACUGUCCAAUCCGCCCGAUAAGCAACACUACUCGCGCAGUCGUCGCUCGCUCGGCUUCGGCUAUUUGGAUUUGGUCAAAGAUCGAUUGACUGAUUACUCUUUUUUAAAUUUGCCGCAAUCUUUCUAGUGUGUUUUACAGUUCGCUGUUUAUCAGCGUUUUUGGUGCGAACACUCUGGUGACAUACUGUUUCUACUGAUCGGCCUUUCCUCUCUCUCAAGUACCAUACGUUCAGUUCUAAUUAUGUUAUGAACCCUUCUGGCUGAUUCUUUUGUUUGUUUGAUUUUUCCAGUGUACUUCAAGGAAGCGUCAGCGAGCAUUGCUUUCACCAGUGCAAAACAGCCCCAAUCAUAAUAGUUCCUGGAAAAGGUACUUUGCUUCACUUGUUUUGUUUUUCUAAAUUUUUCUUUUGGGUUGUUUGUGAACAAAACGUAAUUUUGUUAAGCAGAAGCAGGGGAGGAAUCUGUAAUUUAAUGGGAACUUGCCAAGUUUGAGUAGUGCUGAUGAUCAUGCAGUAUGGCAGCAGCUUAUUUGCUAUUCACAGGACAUUCCUUCAUAUUGUUGUAGAAGAAAGUUCUGCUAUUAUUGAUGUAAAUUUUGUUUUCUGGUGUAUUCUAGAUCUACUCUGUUUAUUUCAGUAUUCAUGAUUUGUUUGUUGAACUUCAACUACAAUAUGUUGUUGAUAUGAUUAAGAAUUCACUACAUUUGUUGUUAUGAAUAGAAAAUUACAUGAACUUUUUGUUCGCAUUUUUUUCAAUUUAUUUUAAUUAUUUUAUUUUUAUCCAUGUCUGAUUUUGUUCUUUUAAAACUAUUGUAAUGAAUAAAACUUGCCUUGCUUAUGUCACCAGUCAGUUCAGUCACCUAUAUUUUAAUUCUUUUUGAGUUAGAAUUAAAUAUUUUCGAGUGAUCCAAGCUAGUUUUAUAUGCGUUUUAGUUAUGGUUACUAGUUAAUGUACAAGGUUCGAUUUGUCAUGCCAAACGCAUUUACUGCAAAUAGGAAAGCUGAAAAUUGUACUCCUAUAGUUAUGGGUAACUGGGCUUGCUCUAAUAUUUGUGCUUACCCUUAUAAUUGGAUAUGUAUACGUGAUGUUAAAGAUAUGUGAUAUGGCUUGAUACAAAUUUAAAAAAAGAUUAAUAUUAAAAUUAAUAAUAAGAAAAUAAAUACAAACCGCACAAAUUGAAAAGCCUUAACUUUGGAGUUUGAUCACCUUGGAGUCAAGAAAUGCCUCAACUAAUGUCGGAACAGAAUAACAAGAUGGUAAGAACUAGAAAUAACAAUUUAUUGCUUUUUGGUGCAUAUUAUAAUGUGUGUUUACAAAUGAUCAAACCUCGCUUUAUAUAGUAGGGGAGCCCUACUCUUAAUACAAUUCUAUAAAAGAUAAAAAAAAUCUCAUUAUUUGCUAAUUAGUCGGCCUCUCCUUGAUACAUGCUUACGUACAUGACAUCUGUCUACAAGUCUCUGAGAAUACUUUUCAUAAAGGUCGGGAUAGAGUCCCGCCAUACCAAACGAUACACAUCUAACACAUAGUAACUAAACAAGCAACUCCGAAGCAAAUGGAGCGCACCAACAUCUUUCGCUGAGUUGAUAGCCUACUUGGAGGACUCUCUUUUCCGAGAUACCACAUCAGCCCUAUCACCACUAAUCCUAGGUUAUCAGGGGACGCUAGGCAUCGGAAUUCAAAAAGUUCUCUUUUUUUUUGUCAGCGGAUUUCGCUCAUCAAGUUCUUCUUUGAUCUGCCGCUGUUAGAACACCACAAUAUUCGUCUUUUUGGGGUUAAUGUUCUCAAUGGUGAAUCGAUCAUUCGAUAUCCUUUUCCUUCUGCGACGGAAUGGAAGAAAAGUAAUGAAACCUGCGAUGGCUACUGAAUAACCUCCUUUUACUUUCUCAAUAAUAUUCUCAAUGGUGAUGACCUGUCUAACGGGACGUGCGGGCAUGAAACAACGUCCCCAGGCAAAAAGGGACGUCAGUACCAAUAAAGUACUGAGUAUGUAAGGCACAAAAAUAAGUACAUAAUAGACAUGGAGAAAAUAUUGAGUAAAUGACUCCACCUAUAAGUCUGAAUAACUUCGUAAAUCAUGAAAUAAUUAUAGUAUCAUUCAUACGCGUAUGAAUGUCAUGUCAUACAUAUGUACAUAUUUCAUAAUAUCAUCAGCCUCUAAGGGCGUUGCACCGUAUAAUCUUGGCUACUGUGGGCAAAAUCAUCAAUGUAUACCAGCUGACCGGGUGGUGGUGCAUAUAUAACGCCAUAAUAUAUAUAUAUAUAGAUAAGCCAAACCAUUAAGAGUAAAUAACUGUCCAAUCCGCCCGAUAAGCAACACUACUCGCGCAGUCGUCGCUCGCUCGGCUUCGGCUAUUUGGAUUUGGUCAAAGAUCGAUUGACUGAUUACUCUUUUUUAAAUUUGCCGCAAUCUUUCUAGUGUGUUUUACAGUUCGCUGUUUAUCAGCGUUUUUGGUGCGAACACUCUGGUGACAUACUGUUUCUACUGAUCGGCCUUUCCUCUCUCUCAAGUACCAUACGUUCAGUUCUAAUUAUGUUAUGAACCCUUCUGGCUGAUUCUUUUGUUUGUUUGAUUUUUCCAGUGUACUUCAAGGAAGCGUCAGCGAGCAUUGCUUUCACCAGUGCAAAACAGCCCCAAUCAUAAUAGUUCCUUUAUGUGACUAAGUUAUGGUUCAAAAACAUGACAAUACCUGAAAUUAUUGUCCAUGAAUAUGAACUGGGCUCCCUGAGUACUAAGCUCUUCCGAUUCCUAUCCCCAUUUUCCUUUCUAUGUGUGCUGAGUUUGAGACUUCUGUCUGACAAUGUCCUAAUCACUGUCCAGCCCAUGGUAUGAUCUGCAAUAGGUCUUACUCUUAAUUGUUUGGCUGACAGGUUGGUCAGGGGUAUGCCAAUAUACCAUAUGGUUGGGUUUGACCACCAACCUGCCUUGGCACUCCCUAACCCCCUCUAUUGCACUAGCACUUGUUCCUAGAAUCUAUGUUCUGACCCCCUCUUGUGAUCCUUGCCUUGGGACCCAUAGGCUCCCUAUGAACUUGGAUACUUUAGGGCUGACCCUUCCACACUGCACUCUAAUUCAGUUAAAAUUGAUAUCUGGGGUGUAUGCACUGCCUGGAGUUCCUGAAACUCCUUGGAGCUUUGAAACACCCUAGAUAAGAGAAGGAUUUGGAAAUCUUGAUACCGGAAGUGGUUCAUCUCAUAUUGUUUGACACUAAGUCUGAAUUAGGCUUCUCCGAUGUAGUUGUAGCUUCUAAUGUAUUUUAACAUUUAGUUUGAUUUAUUGGGCUGUAAUAAGUUGUAAUAAAGUCAUUGGUAUUUAGAAUAAAAUAAUAAGGGGUUUACUUUUAUGCACAAGGGUAGAUACCAUGCCUAUAGAGGUUAACAUCUAAUUUCUUCUGCAAAUACACAUGUAGAUAUCAUGUCUAUAGGCUCUUGAUUUCUGCAUAUAUAAACAUCAUUAGGCAAACCAUUUGUAGGUUAAUAAUAAAGAUGCAUAUAUACGUCACGUGCCUUAGACAUAUGUUAACGUCAGAAAAGGUGCUAAAAUCAGUAAACAUAUUGUAAUAAUGCCUAUAGGAAAUCUUGAAAUUGAACAACCUUAUUUGUUUAAAACGGUAUCAAUUGCUGGAACUCGUAUUUAUUUCACUAAAACUUGUAAUCUUCUGCCUCUUUUCUGAAACACACUAAAACUGGUAAAUGCAGGCGUACAUUUGGACCAAGCUUAUUUGCUGCUAGGACAACGCGAGCUGGUGAACUGUUCGAGGGAAAUAAAGGUGCCAAAUCUGGGGAAGGUUCUUCUGCGACCAAAUAGUUAGGAGUCUUUUAUUUUUCUUUAAUAAUGUAAUAAGACCAAUGGCCAGUAGUGACAUUGUACUUUCUGUUAUUUAGUGUCGUUUUGGAUUCGUCUUAUUUUUUUCAAUUAAAUGAGGCAUUUAGCAUAAUAAGUUCUCCAAAACUAUUUUUCGCUAGGUCUACCUCGGGCACAAUGAGGCACCCAAAUUAGGACGUGAUUUAUAUUGUUGCACAAUGUGUUUAAACACUGCAAAAUUUUCUUCUCAUAAUCCGCACUGACUUAUUACAUUUUUGUUUUUCAUUUAUUUUGAUUCCCCUCCCCAAAGGUUAGUUCGUGCAUUCUGGCAUCAUCAUCAUACAAUACGAAUCCUAGGGACCUCCUCCUCCUCCAAGUCUUAUCAGAAAUAAGAACAAGACAAAAAUGGAAGAUGUGAACACCAUAAGAAACGUGAACUUGGGUAAACAGACAGAGGCUACACAGGGUAGGAAGAUCUAUAAGGAAAGUGCCGCCCAACUUGAGCAGAAAUUAUUGAAGUUCCGAGAAGAACUGGAUCGGGUUUGGAACUUGGCCAACUUGUCAUUGUCCCUUACCACUCCCGAUAUCAACUUUCCCAACACCCAAAAUCCCGCACCGAACACCCCACUACAACUGAAACAACCCCCUCAUCCUCAACACUGCAACACAUGUCACAUUCCCAACAACACUCCAUUACUCAUUCCUGAAGCCUUGAACACCAAAAAUGAUCGUACCCACUAACACUCCCAUAUAUGUGGAGACCAUACCCCACUACACUCAACCAAUCUCAAAUGCACAUGAGUCUGAUGACAAAGACUAUCUUAUCAGAAACUUGGUCGCGGAGCUCAAGAAGUUGACCAGUCGAGUCUAGGGCUUUGAAGGAAACAAAGGUAUUAUGAGGACCUUCGCAUUCAGCCAGAUGUUGAACUCCUGGAGGGGUGCAAAUCUCCCAAGUUUGAAAUGUUUGAUGUCAUGAGAAAUCCCAAAGUCCAUUUGAGGACAUAUUGUGACAAACUGGUUGGAGUCGAAAAGAUGAGAAGAUCUGUAUGAAUCUCUUUAUGAGGAGUCUGGAAGGGGAUGCUUUAUCUUGGUAAAUCAGCCAGGACCGCAAGAAGUGGACAAGCUGGGUAGGUACGACAUCAGAUUUCAUGGAUAGGUUCCGAUUCAAUAAAUAGAAUCCAACGGAUGUAUUCACAUCUAGAAUUUGAAGAAGAAAUCUACCGAGACAUUCCACGAGUAUGCUACUCAUUAGAUUUAUGACUGCUAAGGUUAGGCCAGCCUUAGAAGAGAAACAGAUAAACAGGUUCUUCGUCCAGGCUCAGGAUCCACAAUAUUACGAGAGGUUGAUGCUGAUCAAGGGCCAGAAAUUUUCCGAUAUCAUCAAGCUGGGGAAAGAAUUGAGGAGGGCAUUAAGAAUGGUAUGGUUGCUAAUCUUGAAGCAUUGCAGGCGGCCAACAAUGCUUUGCAUUCUGGUGGCGCAUCCAAGAAGAAAGAUGUGAGUGUCGUGAUAGUCGCACAGAGGACAAAAUCCUUGAUAAAAUACCACACUUACCCAUCACCUCCACUUACAUAUCAGCCUUUCUCAAAUUACCAAGCACCCACACCCAAUUACCAAAAUCCACCACCCGUGAACCUGCACCUAUCUACCAAGAUUAUAAUGCCCAAGUCUCUCACUACCAAUCAUCUCUCACUCAUCAAAAUUUCCCUAGACCUAGACCAAACUUUGACCGUAGACCUCCCAGACAAUAUACAACCAUCACUGAACUAAAUGACCAGAUAUAUGAAAGACUUAAAGCUGCCGGUUAUGUCACCCGUAUCCGUGCCAUAACUCCAAAAAUCCUUGCCAGUGGGUCAACCCUAACAAGACCUGUGGGUACCUUUCGGGUAUGAAGGGACAUACCAUUGGCGAUUUCCGCUCAUGGAAGGACAAGAUUCAAACUCUGAUCGACAAUAAGGUCAUCGUAGUAAAGGAGCCUGCUCUUAAUGUUUGCAACAACCCUCUGCCUGAACACAAGGGUGGAGACAUUGACAUGAUCGAGAUCGAAGAUGACUGGGACCCUAAAGGGUCGAUUGGAUUGACUGUUGAGGGUGAUAAGGUGAAGAAUCCAGCAGUCACACUUAACUCGAUUGUUAUCCAGAACCAUCCCUCCGAGGGCGAUGAAGUAAACAUGUUUAUGCCACUCGAGUUUGAACUAACUUAUUCUGCAAAAGUACCCGGACCGAUUGAGGUUGAGUUUGGAGUUCCAAAAGAACCUACACCCUUUGAAGUUGUUGUGUUACAUCCAAGGGUACCUAUUCCUGUAGCAAUGACAAAUGUAACACUGUUAAACUCAAAUGCCAUACCAUGGGAUUACAUAGCUGAAGCUAGGAGGAAAGGGAAAACUAAAACUAGAGAAUCAAUUACCGUGCAUGAUAUGACCAGAACAAGCAGAGUUUACACACUAGAAAACCUAGCUGAGUCCAGUAUGCAAGCCUCUAGACGACCUAUUAAAACUGGGCCCGAUGAUCUUUGGAGAAAGAUACAUGCAGAAGAAUUUUGUUGAACAGUUGAACAAAAAAUCGACAUAGAUCUCCAUCCUAGCUUUUCUGCACAGCUCCGACACACACAAGAAGGCUUUGAUGAAGAUACUAAGUGAGUUAUAUGUUCCUAACAAUAUAACUGAAGGAGAAAUAGCGAACAUGGUAGGACAAGUGCUGGAGAGCCCCAAAAUCACCUUCCACGAAGAUGAGCUACCACCGCAAGGAUUGAGUCACAACAAGGCACUGCACAUUAUCGUGCAAUGCGAGGAUUACUUCAUUACUAGAGUCGUGAUUGACGGAGGCUCCUGCCUCAGCAUAUGUCAAUUGAUAACUCUCAGAACAUCGGGAAAAAGCCUGCACGAGAUUAAAUAUGGGCCCAUCAAUGUUAAAGCCUUCGAUGGGUCCCAAAGGUCCACUAUUGGGGAGAUAAGUUUAUGCCUACAGAUGGGACCAACUUGGUUCGAUGUUGAGUUCCAAGUGAUAGACGUCCCAGGAUCUUACAACUUGUUGUUAGGACAACUGUGGAUUCAUGUUGCCGGAGCUAUAGCAUCAACCAUGCACCAUGCAGUGAAGUUCGAGCGGAAUCACCAAGAGGUGAUUAUUCAUGACGAUGGUAGCAACCCCAUAUAUAGUCGCCAGACCAUCCCAAUGAUUGAAGAAAGAGGGAGAAUAGGUGGAGAAACCUACCAUCACAUUGACCGGGUCAACGUUGUGGACAAAGACAAAUGGUGGGACAACAAGAUUGAAAGUAUCCUGAAUUGGUUUGGAUUUGAGCCUAGAAAGGGUCUUGGCAAAAACCUCCAAGGAAUUGCCAAACCCAUGAAGCUGAAGAAAUAUGGUACCACCUUUGGAUUGGGGUAUUGAUACACUUGGAAAGAGUUCGAUGACUGGUCGCCACCAUGGCGCAGUCCUUACUAUCCGCUAGAGCAUCUGAUACCUCAUCUGAUGUAGACUUUUCGACCAAAAAAUGCUAUAUAUGGGCCAUAGGAAGAUGAAGCAUUGGCAGCCAUGAAGAAUUUGUUUCUGGAGGACGAUGAUAUGAACUGCUAUGUUAUUUUCAAGUAGGAAAGGGGAGGAAGACCCCUUCCAUACAAGCUGUGAGCCGAACUCGGCAAUUGGUCAAUCAGAACCACCAGGGCCCGGAAAGCUUCAGGGUAGCAAGGCUAAACAAAAGCAUCAUGCAUCACAUUUUACUUUCUACUAGCUGAUUAUUCCCAUAUCGUCUUUAGUUUUGAAGAGAGCUUCGAUGUUCAAAACAAUUAGGAAUUUAAUCAAAGCAUUUCAGUUUAUUAUAUAUCUUGCUAUUAUUAUUUUCUCUAUCAUUUAAUUUAGUUUAUACAACAUUACUAUUACUUAUUUUGAUGAUGGCCGACGGUUGUGACUUGGAACGAGACAACGCAACAAACAAAUAUAGGUUCAGAAGAGGAUGAUAUACCAGAAGAGGUCGUCGCAGAAAUUGAGGAUUUUGAAAAUAGAUCUAAGACAAACUUGGAGAAACUGAGGUCGUUAACUUGGGCGAUACAGAGAAUGUGAAAGAAAUACGCAUCAGUGUUCAUCUGUCACCAUCAGAAAAGGAAGAGUACAUGGAGUUUCUGAAGGAUUAUGAGGACAUAUUCGCCUGGUCGUAUGAUGAUAUGACUGGUCGCAGUAAAUCCAUUGUAGCUCACAAACUGCCAACAGAUCUAACAUGUCGGCUGGUAUAAUAGAAGCUCAGAAAAUUCAAACCCGACAUGAGUUUGAAAAUCAAAGAAGAGAUUACCAAGCAAGUCAAAGCCAAUGUUCCUAGGGUAGUAGAAUAUCCAACAUGGUUAGCCAGCAUCGUGCCAGUAUCACAAAAGGCAGAACCAGGCAUCUCAAACAUUGAUAAGGGAAGAAUCAGGCUUACCUAUUGAAUCAUGACUAUAUCCGCUAUUCUGAUAUUAAAAUUCGAUAGAGAUGAAAUUGGAGCAGUUGAUUUUUUUAAUUUCAUUUUUUUGUUUUGGAUUCCACAAGAAUUUGUCGAUAUUUUCGAUUAAAUCUUCUUGUUACAUUUUAAAAUUCUCCUUCUAAUUCAUCUUCCCUGGUGGAUUUAGGUUUAUUUUUGAGGUCCCACGAAGGUUCGACUAGUAGCACUCUGUCGUACGCCAAUUCGGGGGAUAUUACUAGCACUCAAGUUUUGAGUGAUAUCACCAGGUAAGAAGGGGUAGAGAAAAUGCCUCGAGCCAAUGUUCGAAUACCAGGCGCUACGGCGCUGAAGUAACCCAUGCCAUACUCCUAGGAAAAGCUCGAAGG
rnacentral:lncRNA from 1 species